ensembl:snoRNA SNORA62 Small nucleolar RNA SNORA62/SNORA6 family
AAUGCACCUUCCAAGCACCAGGUGCCCCAAGAUUUAGUGAUUCAAAAGAGAAGAAAGGGUAGGUAGUGUGCUACAAGAUGGGCAAGUCUUUCCUCACAGUACAAGGGUCUCUGGCCCGACGAGUGUAGUUUGACAGUAAUUCUUGCUACUAGU